CAAACCAAAGCUGGCGACCGGCGCACGGGUGAGUAACACGUAUCCAACCUGCCUCAUACUCGGGGAUAGCCUUUCGAAAGAAAGAUUAAUAUCCGAUAGCAUAUAUUUCCCGCAUGGGUUUUAUAUUAAAGAAAUUCGGUAUGAGAUGGGGAUGCGUUCCAUUAGUUUGUUGGGGGGGUAACGGCCCACCAAGACUACGAUGGGUAGGGGUUCUGAGAGGAAGGUCCCCCACAUUGGAACUGAGACACGGUCCAA
rnacentral:rRNA from 1 species